CGGAUGUAGCCAGGUGGAUCAAGGCAGUGGAUUGUGAAUCCACCAUGCGCG
rnacentral:tRNA from 1 species